UCAGACUGCAGGCUGCAACCCGCCUGCACGAAGUUGGAAUCGCUAGUAAUCGCGGAUCAGCAUGCCGCGGUGAAUACGUUCCCGGGCCUUGUACACACCGCCCGUCACACCAUGAGAGUUGGCAAUACCCAACGUACGUGAUCUAACCCGCAAGGGAGGAAGCGUCCUAAGGUAGGGUCAGCGAUUGGGGUGAAGUCGUAACAAGGUACC
rnacentral:rRNA from 1 species